GCAGCACAGUAAGAGCUUGCUCUUAUGGGUGGCGAGUGGCGGACGGGUGAGGAAUACAUCGGAAUCUACCUUUUCGUGGGGGAUAACGUAGGGAAACUUACGCUAAUACCGCAUACGACCUUCGGGUGAAAGCAGGGGACCUUCGGGCCUUGCGCGGAUAGAUGAGCCGAUGUCGGAUUAGCUAGUUGGCGGGGUAAAGGCCCACCAAGGCGACGAUCCGUAGCUGGUCUGAGAGGAUGAUCAGCCACACUGGAACUGAGACACGGUCCAGACUCCUACGGGAGGCAGCAGUGGGGAAUAUUGGACAAUGGGCGCAAGCCUGAUCCAGCCAUACCGCGUGGGUGAAGAAGGCCUUCGGGUUGUAAAGCCCUUUUGUUGGGAAAGAAAAGCAGUCGGCUAAUACCCGGUUGUUCUGACGGUACCCAAAGAAUAAGCACCGGCUAACUUCGUGCCAGCAGCCGCGGUAAUACGAAGGGUGCAAGCGUUACUCGGAAUUACUGGGCGUAAAGCGUGCGUAGGUGGUUGUUUAAGUCUGUUGUGAAAGCCCUGGGCUCAACCUGGGAAUUGCAGUGGAUACUGGGCGACUAGAGUGUGGUAGAGGGUAGUGGAAUUCCCGGUGUAGCAGUGAAAUGCGUAGAGAUCGGGAGGAACAUCCAUGGCGAAGGCAGCUACCUGGACCAACACUGACACUGAGGCACGAAAGCGUGGGGGAGCAAACAGGAUUAGAUACCCUGGUAGUCCACGCCCUAAACGAUGCGAACUGGAUGUUGGGUGCAAUUUGGCACGCAGUAUCGAAGCUAACGCGUUAAGUUCGCCGCCUGGGGAGUACGGUCGCAAGACUGAAACUCAAGGAAUUGACGGGGGCCCGCACAAGCGGUGG
rnacentral:rRNA from 1 species